rnacentral:rRNA from 1 species
GACGAACGCUGGCGGCGUGCUUAACACAUGCAAGUCGAACGGAAAGGCCUCUUUCGGGGGGUACUCGAGUGGCGAACGGGUGAGUAACACGUGAGUAACCUGCCCUUGACUUUGGGAUAACUUCAGGAAACUGGGGCUAAUACCGGAUAGGAGCUCCUGCUGCAUGGUGGGGGUUGGAAAGUUUCGGCGGUUGGGGAUGGACUCGCGGCUUAUCAGCAUGUUGGUGGGGUAGUGGCUUACCAAGGCUUUGACGGGUAGCCGGCCUGAGAGGGUGACCGGCCACAUUGGGACUGAGAUACGGCCCAGACUCCUACGGGAGGCAGCAGUGGGGAAUAUUGCACAAUGGGUGGAAGCCUGAUGCAGCAACGCCGUGUGCGGGAUGACGGCCUUCGGGUUGUAAACCGCUUUCGCUCAUGACGAAGCUUUGUGUGACGGUAGUGGGUAAAGAAGCACCGGCUAACUACGUG